rnacentral:rRNA from 1 species
UAAUACGGAGGGUGCAAGCGUUAUCCGGAUUCACUGGGUUUAAAGGGUGCGUAGGUGGGCUAGUAAGUCCGUGGUGAAAUCUCUGAGCUUAACUCGGAAACUGCCGUGGAUACUAUUAGUCUUGAAUCUCGUGGAGGUAAGCGGAAUAUGUCAUGUAGCGGUGAAAUGCUUAGAUAUGACAUAGAACACCGAUAGCGAAGGCAGCUUGCUACACGAGUAUUGACACUGAGGCACGAAAGCGUGGGGAUCAAACAGGAUUAGAUACCCUGGUAGUCCACGCCCUAAACGAUGGAUACUCGACAUACGCGAUACACAGUGUGUGUCUGAGCGAAAGCAUUAAGUAUCCCACCUGGGAAGUACGACCGCAAGGUUG